rnacentral:rRNA from 1 species
AAUGGGCGCAAGCCUGAUCCAGCCAUCCCGCGUGCAGGAUGACGGCCUAUGGGUUGUAAACUGCUUUUAGAAGGGACGAACUUUGGGAUUUAUCCCGAACUGACGGUACCUUCAGAAUAAGCACCGGCUAACUCCGUGCCAGCAGCCGCGGUAAUACGGAGGGUGCAAGCGUUAUCCGGAAUCACUGGGUUUAAAGGGUGCGUAGGCGGCAUUGUAAGUCAGAUGUGAAAGCCCACCGCUUAACGGUGGAACUGCAUUUGAUACUGCAAAGCUUGAAUCAGGCUGAGGUCAGCGGAAUGUGUCAUGUAGCGGUGAAAUGCAUAGAUAUGACAUAGAACACCAAUUGCGAAGGCAGCUGGCUAGACCUGUAUUGACGCUGAGGCACGAAAGCGUGGGGAGCGAACAGGAUU